CGUGGCGAACGGGUGCGUAACACGUGGAUAACCUUCCUUCAGGUGGGGAAUAACCCAGUGAAAAUUGGGCUAAUACCGCAUAACAUGACGAUGGCACAUGCCGUUGUCUUCAAAGCCGCAAGGCGCCAGAAGAGGGAUCCGCGGCCGAUUAGCUUGUUGGCGAGGUAAUGGCUCACCAAGGCAUUGAUCGGUAGCCGGACUGAGAGGUUGACCGGCCACACUGGAACUGAGACACGGUCCAGACUCCUACGGGAGGCAGCAGUGGGGAAUCUUGCGCAAUGGACGAAAGUCUGACGCAGCAACGCCGCGUGGGGGAUGAAGCUUCUCGGAGUGUAAACCCCUUUCGACCCGGACGAAUGCCCGCAAGGGUUUGACGGUACGGGUAUAAGAAGCCCCGGCUAACUACGUGCCAGCAGCCGCGGUAAAACGUAGGGGGCCAGCGUUGCUCGGAAUUACUGGGCGUAAAGGGUCCGUAGGCGGUGUGGCAAGUCGGAAGUGAAAUCUCUGGGCUUAACCCAGAGGCUGCUCCCGAAACUGCCAUGCUAGAGUGCGAGAGAGGCGAGUGGAAUUGCGGGUGUAGCGGUGAAAUGCGUAGAUAUCCGCAGGAACAUCCGAGGCGAAAGCGGCUCGCUGGAUCGCAAC
rnacentral:rRNA from 1 species